rnacentral:rRNA from 1 species
AGAGUUUGAUCCUGGCUCAGGACGAACGCUGGCGGCAGGCUUAACACAUGCAAGUCGAGCGCCCACUUCGGUGGGAGCGGCAGACGGGUGAGUAACACGUGGGAAUCUACCUAUCUCUACGGAACAACACAUAGAAAUGUGUGCUAAUACCGUAUACGCCCUUCGGGGGAAAGAUUUAUCGGAGAUAGAUGAACCCGCGCUUGAUUAGCUAGUUGGUGAGGUAAUGGCUCACCAAGGCGACGAUCAAUAGCUGGUCUGAGAGGAUGAUCAGCCACACUGGGACUGAGACACGGCCCAGACUCCUACGGGAGGCAGCAGUGGGGAAUAUUGGACAAUGGGCGCAAGCCUGAUCCAGCCAUGCCGCGUGAGUGAUGAAGGCCCUAGGGUUGUAAAGCUCUUUCAACGGUGAAGAUAAUGACGGUAACCGUAGAAGAAGCCCCGGCUAACUUCGUGCCAGCAGCCGCGGUAAUA